AGCGUCUCUUCGAUGUUCUGAAAAAGAGUAAAAUAAAAACACUGACGCUGAAAUCUAACCAUCUUACGGACAAUUGUCUGGAGAGUGUCUUCUUUGCGCUCAUUACAAAUCCUUCGCUGAUGCAGAUCAACCUAAGCAAUUCCAGUCAGGAUGGGAAACAGGACAAUAAAUUUACUGAUGAAAAACUGCAGUAUUAUUAUGAGAGAUCCGCUCAGCAGAAAGAAAUCAAAUGGCAACGCAUUAAACACAUCAUCCAGUCUGCCACUGAAUCAAACUGUUUAACACUGAUAACAGAAUGAACGUCUAUAAAGCUUUACACUAGGUAUGGAACAGAAUUUGAUAUGGAACGUUCAGUUCCUCGCAGCAUGCCGAUAUGGAACAGAAUCUGAUGUGGACCGUUUAGUUCAUUUCACCUUCGUGACAAUGCCACGACCUUUGCCACGGUAGAGAACUGAAAACUAAGUGAAGUUGUCAACUAAUUUGCAGUGUUGCUCUUUGAAUUAACAACACAGCCGCGUUGGUAAAAUGAUGGAGUACGUAUAUAAUUCUAACAAUUAAUAAUAAAGUGAGGUUUCCAUAAUAGUGAAACGUAUCCAAAGAUAAGAGAAAUAUGCAAUGUUUCUAACAAAUUUCGCCUUGUUUUACCCAUUUUAUAGUAAAUUGUAUUUUCUAAUCUGGUAUCAGGGUCUCAGAUCGAGUUAUUUCCCGGUGCUUGGAUAAUUUAAACUCCAGCCCUGGCAGCCCGAAUUUCAGGAUCAGAGACAAGGAUCGGGGUGACUUCUCUAGCACUCCCGUUAAUGAUCAUCCCUCUGUUCGGUGACUGUCAGCUCUGCGAAUUUUGCGGGGUUUUUUUUCGCCUAAAUGUUGUCAACUGAUCAGUCGACAUGGGACUACAUGGGCUAGGUGGAGGCGAUCUUAGGAAUCAAUAUGGUUCGAAAUGUUGUCGUUUACAUCAUGUUUGCCGGUUUUCCAUUAUUUUAUGUGUGUUUUUUUUUUCAAAUUUGCUUCUUCGCUUUUCUUGCUUCUGAAUGUCUGUAAGUAAACUAAUCAUAA